GAUGAACGCUGGCGGCGUGCCUAAUACAUGCAAGUCGAACGGUCAAGCGACUUGCUUUCUGGUGGGUGUGGAUGAGCGGCGGAGGGGUGAGUAACUGGAGAGCCAACCGAUACCACUUGCUGGACAUCCGCAAGCCAGAGCGGCUACCACGGGAUAUUCUGAGCCUGUUGCAUGAUGGGUCUGGGACAGAUUUUGUUUCGGUGGGGGAUGGAUCCGCGGCGCAUUAGCUAGUUGGUAAGGUAACGGCUUACCAAGGCAACGAUGCGUAGCCGACCUGAGAGGGUGAUCGGCCACACUAGAACGGAGACACGGUCCAGAAUCCUACGGGAGGCAGCAGUAGGGAAUAUUCCGCAAUGGGCGAAAGCAUGACGGAGCAACGACGCGUGAGUGAUGAAGGUCUUCGGAUCGUAAAACUCUGCUAUCAGGGAAGAACAAAUGUGUACGUAACUAUGCACGUCUUGACGGUACCUAAUCAGAAAGCCACGGCUAACUACGUG
rnacentral:rRNA from 1 species